AACGAACGCUGGCGGCAGGCCUAACACAUGCAAGUCGAGCGAACCCUUCGGGGUUAGCGGCGGACGGGUUAGUAACGCGUGGGAAUAUACCCUUUGGUACGGAAUAGCCUCGGGAAACUGAGAGUAAUACCGUAUGUGCCCUUGGGGGAAAGAUUUAUCGCCAAAGGAUUAGCCCGCGUUGGAUUAGGUAGUUGGUGGGGUAAUGGCCUACCAAGCCUACGAUCCAUAGCUGGUUUGAGAGGAUGAUCAGCAACACUGGGACUGAGACACGGCCCAGACUCCUACGGAGGCAGCAGUGGGGAAUUUUGGACAAUGGGCGCAAGCCUGAUCCAGCCAUGCCGCGUGAGUGAAGAAGGCC
rnacentral:rRNA from 1 species